CUUUGUAAUGCUGCUACAGUCCUGGCUGAAACUGGAUUGCUGACCUCCCUUCAAACAUAUGACUGUCAGAGUGUGCUACCUUUGACUACUUCUUGGUAGAGGUGGUCACAUCCUGUGUUCAGGAUGAUGCCACAUUUAAACCCAAGAUAAUUUUUCAACCAAUGAAACAGAUCUCCUCUAUAAUCUAUAAAAUACAGUUGUUUCUCUGUAUCCAUGGGGUACUGAUUCAAGAAAUGCCCAUGGAUGCCCAAACUGCAACAACUCUGGUCUCUUGUUAGAAAGGUUUACUGUUUGCAUAUAACUAGACCUGUCCUCCUGCAUGACUCAUCUAUACAGCACCAGGAAAGACUCACAGAAGGCUUAGUGCUCUGCAAAUGGCUGCUACACUGUACUGUUGGAAGCUAACAAGGAGAACAGGUCUACAUGUGUUCAACGAAGAUAAUGUCCCGACACUGUGGCUUCGUUGGAGGUAUGUGUGUGCUUGCUACUCUGCUUGUUUCCUUACCUUGGUCAACUGACUUUCUCUGGUAUCUUAUUUCCCAGGUCUCUUCUCCUGGGUCUGGGAUUUUUCAUUUAGCCUCACUAUGGAGUGGCCUGCCCUUGCAACUAUGAAUACCAAUCAGUUUACAUUAAAACAGGACUUUGGUGAGCAUGUGAUGUCAAGACACCUUCUUUCUACCUGAGAGACAAUGACAUGUGACACUGAGGAGGAAAGUGUGUAGCUCAAGACCAGCAGACAAAUGAAAGCUUGUUAUCUCAUGUAGUGUGCAGAUGGACAGAGCAAGGCAAGUGUGUGCAUGUACAGGCACGUGUGUAAGGGCUGGCAGGCGUGACGAUUAACAUCACCACCGAGGAGUAGAGAUCUGUUCUACUUAGCCAGGGUCUAAUGUUUGGCCUCUAAGAACCACUGGGUUUGGCCCUGGAUGAUCCUAAUGCCCUCCUUCCCCACGCCAGCUGAGAGCCUCAGCCACAGGAGACAGUGAGCUCAUGCAGACACAGCACAGGCUUGAAUACAGAAUUCAUAAUCUCUGCUCUGAAGGGACAAGUGUCACUUAAGAUCCCUCUUGUUAUCAUUUCAACUUGGGGUUAAUGAGAGAAGCUGUUAGGAUCAACUUCAUCAGCUUUGACUACAUGAUUUAUG
rnacentral:lncRNA from 1 species